GAUGAACGCUGGCGGCGUGCCUAAUACAUGCAAGUCGAGCGAACAGAUGAGGAGCUUGCUCCUCUGACGUUAGCGGCGGACGGGUGAGUAACACGUGGAUAACCUACCUAUAAGACUGGGAUAACUUCGGGAAACCGGAGCUAAUACCGGAUAAUAUAUUGAACCGCAUGGUUCAAUAGUGAAAGACGGUUUUGCUGUCACUUAUAGAUGGAUCCGCGCCGCAUUAGCUAGUUGGUAAGGUAACGGCUUACCAAGGCAACGAGGCGUAGCCGACCUGAGAGGGUGAUCGGCCACACUGGAACUGAGACACGGUCCAGACCCCUACGGGAGGCAGCAGUAGGGAAUCUUCCGCAAUGGGCGAAAGCCUGACGGAGCAACGCCGCGUGAGUGAUGAAGGUCUUCGGAUCGUAAAACUCUGUUAUUAGGGAAGAACAAAUGUGUAAGUAACUAUGCACGUCUUGACGGUACCUAAUCAGAAAGCCACGGCUAACUACGUG
rnacentral:rRNA from 1 species